rnacentral:rRNA from 1 species
AGAAUCAACGCUGGCGGCGUGCCUAACACAUGCAAGUCGAACGCGAAAGUCCCGCAAGGGGCAAGUAGAGUGGCGAACGGGUGAGUAAUACGUGGGUGACCUACCUCUGCGUGGGGGAUAACGUCUCGAAAGGGACGCUAAUACCGCAUGACAUCCUGCUUUUUGAUAAGCGGAGAUCAAAGCCGGGGACCGCAAGGCCUGGCGCGUGAUGAGGGGCCCACGUCCGAUUAGCUUGUUGGUGGGUAAUGGCCUACCAAGGCGACGAUCGGUA